GAGACCCACGCCCACAGUUGCCAGCGUACUCUCCGGAGUGACGGGUACACUGUGGGGACCGCCGCUGCUAAAGCGGAGGAAGGAAUGGGCAACGGUAGGUCAGUAUGCCCCGAAUAUCCCGGGCUACACGCGGGCUACAAUGGUUGGUACAAUGGGUAUCUACCCCGAAAGGGGAUGGAAAUCUCCUAAAGCCAAUCUUAGUCCGGAUUGAGGGCUGCAACUCGCCCUCAUGAAGCUGGAAUCCGUAGUAAUCGCGUUUCAACAGAACGCGGUGAAUAC
rnacentral:rRNA from 3 species